CCAAGAACAAAUAAAAGAAAGGAGGAGGAGGACAAACAACUGAGGGGGAAAAGAGAAGCAGAGAGGAGGCACAACAGGACUUGGGAUGGAAGGAGUUUGCUGGCUGCUUUAGGGAGUGGUGCAGGGGCGAUCCUGCCGUAGCCCCACUACCCAGAAGCCACCUUAGGCCCUUGCAACUGCACCCCACAGUGGAGAGAGAGUUUUGGAGGCUCGACACCAGUUCUGACUGGUCAUGGAGGAGUAGGAUGACCAGAAGUUUGAUCAGCUCCAAAACUUCUGCAUGAAGAAGGCCGCUUUUAAGGAGCUGUGUGCCUGGCUUGCCCCUGCCCUCUGAUCAUGGAAAAUCCAGAUGUGACUUGUCAUCCCCCUGGAGCAGUGGGUCGCCAUCGCUGUCUGGAAGCUCGCCACCCCAGACAGCUACCAGGCCAUGGGCAACCAGUUCAGAGUGGGAAAAGUUCACUGUCGGGGCCCUCCUCAUGAAGGUGGUGAGGGCCAUCAACUCCAUCCUGCUGCGCAGGGUCAUCUGCUUGGGAGACCUGGACCCUAUCCAUCGUGGCUGGAUUUGCCACCCUGGAGUUCCCAAACUGUGGCAGAGCCAUCGAUGGAACCCAUAUUCCCAUCCGUGCACCACAUAAUCAAGCCGCCCAAUACAUCAGUUGCAAGGGCUAUUUCUUGAUGGUGCUGAAGACCCUAGUUGAUCACCACGAAGUGUUCACUGACAUUUUCGUCAAGUGGUCAGACAGGGCGCACGACCCCUGCAUUUUAAGGAAUUCCAGCCUCCACCACAAACUAGAGGCUGGCACAUUCUUCCCCCAGCGUGACAUUCGGGUUGGAGACAUUCAGAAGCAACUGUGCAUCAUGGAGGACACAGCCUAUCACCGCCUCAUGUCGUGCCUGAUGAAGCCGUACACUGGCCAUCUGGACCCCAGCAGGGACCAAUUCAAUGCCCACCUAAUCCAGGCCUGAAUACAGGUGAAAUGCACCUGUGGGCUCACGAAAGUGCAGUUCAGGUGCUUCCUGAUCUGCCCCAAUGUGGGAGAGCACAACAUUCCCAAAGUGGUCUCUGCCUGUUGUGUUCUCCACAACAUUGUGGAGAGGAAGGGAAGGCCUUCCUACUGGGGUGGGGGGUAGAGGCUGGCUGGGAGGGAAGGGUCUUCAAGCAGCUGUGCACUGCUGCUAUCAGCCAGGCCCAGCAGUUGGCCCUGAGGGAGAGUUUCUCUCAAGGACCCCAGUAACUCUUUCCACUGCCUCCCCACCAGGGGCCUGUGCUUUACCCCUUUAUGCCUUUCCCAUCACAAACCCUCCCUUUCCAGCUUCCCUGUACAGUCAAUAAAGACACCAAUUUUGUGUUGAAAA